rnacentral:rRNA from 1 species
UGGCUCAGAACGAACGCUGGCGGCAGGCUAACACAUGCAAGUCGAGCGCACUCUUCGGAGUGAGCGGCGGACGGGUUAGUAACGCGUGGGAAUAUACCCUUCACUACGGAAUAGCCUCGGGAAACUGAGAGUAAUACCGUAUACGCCCUUCGGGGGAAAGAUUUAUCGGUGAUGGAUUAGCCCGCGUCUGAUUAGAUAGUUGGUGGGGUAACGGCCUACCAAGUCUACGAUCAGUAGCUGGUUUGAGAGGAUGAUCAGCAACACUGGGACUGAGACACGGCCCAGACUCCUACGGGAGGCAGCAGUGGGGAAUCUUAGACAAUGGGCGAAAGCCUGAUCUAGCCAUGCCGCGUGAGUGACGAAGGCCUUAGGGUCGUAAAGCUCUUUCGCCAGGGAUGAUAAUGACAGUACCUGGUAAAGAAACCCCGGCUAACUCCGUGCCAGCAGCCGCGGUAAUACGGAGGGGGUUAGCGUUGUUCGGAAUUACUGGGCGUAAAGCGCGCGUAGGCGGAUUGGAAAGUUGGGGGUGAAAUCCCGGGGCUCAACCCCGGAACUGCCUCCAAAACUAUCAGUCUAGAGUUCGAGAGAGGUGAGUGGAAUUCCAAGUGUAGAGGUGAAAUUCGUAGAUAUUUGGGGGAACACCAGUGGCGAAGGCGGCUCACUGGCUCGAUACUGACGCUGAGGUGCGAAAGUGUGGGGAGCAAACAGGAUUAGAUACCCUGGUAGUCCACACCGUAAACGAUGAAUGCCAGACGUCGGGGGGCUUGCCCUUCGGUGUCACACCUAACGGAUUAAGCAUUCCGCCUGGGGAGUACGGUCGCAAGAUUAAAACUCAAA